GCUAAUUUUGCUGUUAAUAUUAUGUGUCACUUUUACCUACGAAAUUGUGUUAUCGGUAAAUUGUUCAUUGGUAAUUAGUCGAAAAUUUCAUUGGUAUAAAUUGGUUUAAAUUUUAUUUCUUUUUUUCGUUGGUAAAGCGCCGGUAAAUCGUUAGUAAAUUACCAACAAAAUUUGGUGGUUAGUAAUUUUUGUAGUUAUUUUAAAAAUUUCUUAUAGUAAGAGCAUCUGAUGCUCUUCAUUGGAUAUGAUCAAAAUAUUUUAAUCCACUCUUUCAUUAACAUGGAUUGAUCAAGUUUAAU
rnacentral:misc_RNA from 1 species